rnacentral:lncRNA from 1 species
GAAGAAGACUGAGGUGAACUAACCAAAGAUGACAGUAUUCUAUGAUGAGUCUUAUCAAACGUAAGAAGAAGGAAGGAAGACCUGCCAAGGGCUGGGCGCUCAAGGCACGGAGUUAAAUAAGGAGACGUCCACAAAGAGCUCCUUUCCAGAGAACACGGAAAAAAGAACGCUCACGUGAUGUACAAACGGCAUAUCUACAACGAGGAGUGAGCGUCCAUCCCUGAGUUUCUUAGAGAUUCUUGCCUAAGGUGACUGGUUCACAAAGGGGUCAAGGACCAAGAAAGGAGGGAAAGAAGAAGGAAUUUUAACCCAAGUGUGAGCACUGCUGCUGAUAAGAGUGGACUGAGCUGUUUACGACAAAGGCCGUAUCCAGCUCAGCUGUCCAGUCCAAAUUCCCGUCCUCCUGUUCACCUUCAUUCUCCCGGCUCAGCCUCUCCCUCCAGCUGCCUCAGCCAGGGUCCUGGCUGUGUAUAGCUCACAGAGGAACCUGGAGACGGGUGGUCUCAGAUGAGCACGGCAGCCCAGGAUGCUUUCAAGGACCCUCGGUCUCUCUGCUCCACCAUCGCUUGCACAUGUAUUCCAUCCUCAGGGUCACCUUGUGGUCCAAGAUGGCAGCUGGAGCUCCAGCGUUUAUAUCUGCUUUUCAAUCCUUCUGGAAGGAGCAGAAUAAAGACAAAAGGGUAAAAAAAGGGCACUUCCUAGGACCCUGAGUCAGCUCCCUUUUCACAAUUUAUAUCUCAGUGACCAGAAGUACAAGGCCAUAGCUAGCAACAAAGGAGCUGGGGAAUGUAAUCUUUAUUUUCGGCAACGAUGUGCCCAGCUCCAAACUGAAGAAAGCCUCCCACUCCUGGGUCUUCCAUGUGUCCCCGGAGUCGGUGAGCACACAAGUACCCAAUACAGUUGCUGAUCACUUAACUGAAAAACAGGAAACAAUGCUACUAUCAAGAUUUGGGGGCAUAGGAAAGGACAUAAAUCAAAAUGGAAGAUCUGUUAUUUUACAAACAUUAGCUUGCAAUGUCAUGGAACUCUCAUUAACACUUGGACUUGAUUUUUAGCUAAAUCCACCAAAAUGUCCAAUGUUACAAAUGGUCCAUCAUAAACAGGUGAUGGGGGAAACGAGCGAUUCUCCUUAGAAUAAAGGGCCUCACUGGUCUUAUUCAUUGCUCUCUCCAGCAUCUAUAACACUGAAUGGAUGAAUGAGUUACAGCAACUUUCCCCACAGUUUGUGGUCUUGAUUUCCUCAUAAUCCAGACCCUCUGCUUUUUCCUCUGCCUUUUUAACGCCUGGCAUGAGCUCUGUGCUGUUUCAACUCUGUACCUUAAUGGCUGCCUCCCACUCUGAAAUGUCUUGGACUUGUGAGUCCUGCCUCCUUGAGACGGUUUUCAGCUCUUUC